rnacentral:piRNA from 1 species
UGGCAAUUAUAUUUCAGUCAAGUGUUAUUGCC